CUGCUGUCAUUGAAAGCAGACGGAAUUUGGGGUGAUUUGUUUAUGUUUUUGCGUCCUCUGCGGAUUUUAUUUAGAGGGUGAUUUAAGUUUACACUCAGGCCUUUGACUUUAUAGAGUAUUCGUAUUCUGCAAUUCUUCGAAAUCUGCUGAGACGAUAAUGUCUGCUCACAAUAUUUCUGAUCCUGAAUUGGAUAUUAAAGUCAAAAAAGCAACGGAGAGAAUAUCAGAAAAUAUGCACAUUGUUGCCAAUGAGCCUUCCUUGGCGUUUUAUCGCCUCCAAGAACAUGUUAGGAAAGCGUUACCACCAAUGGUCGAAAAACGAGUGGAAGUCACAAAGCUUCAUCAUGAACUGCAAGGCCGAUGCUACGAUGUCGAAUAUGGCGUUGGGGCUAUAAAAUCUAUGGAAGGUGCUGAGGAAAGUUUUGACAACAUACAGGAAUUGUUAAAAAAUGCAGUUUUUCUCAAGCAGCAAAUAAAAUAUGAAGAAGCCAGAAGAAACAAAAAAGAGCCCUCAUCUGUAUACAAACGCUUAUCGGCACACAUUACUCUUGACCUGCCUGAUCUGCCAGAAAUUUCUGAUGCUUUGCGUGAAACAGCCAACCGUGUGGAAUCCAUGAUGGCUCAUGCCAGGCAUUCAGCUGGUGCAGAGCUGCAGAGGUCUCACACGGUUCACCACUGAUGACAACCGCACACAGUGUGAGCUGACUGUUUGUUCUGAAGUAUCAUCUUCUUUAUUGGAAGUCAGACUGUCAAAACACCCAGAUGAAAAUCAUGUGAGGAGCCUUGCUUAUCAGUAACACCUCAACAUUGCUCAUUGCUUCGACAGUAUGACACAAUAUUUUUCAAAUUUAUUUUGCUGGUGGAAAAGGAGAAAACCACCUCGCCACCUCGCAGAACAAAUAGAUUAUUGAACACAGACUGUGUGCCUGGGAGCACCAGAGGAAGAGACUGAGAACAGGUGUUACAAUAAAUGGACUGAGAUCUUCUCAAGCAGUGAGACAAGUGUUUAGCACUAAAGAUAGUAUAUAUUUUAUAAUUUUAUGUAAUUUAUUAUUUGUUUUUCAAAUAAUAUGGAAAUGGACAUAAAAAAUAGAUGAUUUCCAAUUUGAAUCUUUUUACUAAGCUAUGCUUUGCACAUGUACUCAUAGUUUUUACACAAUAAUUUGAUCUGAUACACUCACAUUUACACUUUAUGUUCAUGGAACUAUGUCAUCAACUUUGUGUUGUGCUGUAUUGUAACUUGUGGUGAAUUAUUUGUUUAUACAGUGUUUCUGGCAACUGACUGAAGUCUAAUUUUAGCAGAGUAUGUUAUCUAAUUCUCAUCUACAGUACUCUGGGUGGUUCUUAUAACGUAAAAUAUAUGAUUGCUAAGAUAAGUAUGAAAUGAAGUGUAGACCUCAAGCCAGGCUGCCAUGUUUACAGACUUAAUGUAUACAAAUUUUGUAACAUUAUUAUUUCAUUUAUGUGGUUAUUUGAAAACUCAACAAAUUAUAUUGCUUCUAUUUUGUCUUCAAUUUCAUUUAAAUUUUAUUGUGUGCAAAAAGAUCUCUGUUCUAGUUUGACUGCUACUGAUUAAUACUUAAACAUAAAUAAUAAACAAUCCUCAUUUUGUAGUUCUAGAAUACUUUUUAAAAGAAGUGAAACUAGGUUUUUGUGUGCAUUUAUGUAAAGAACUUGUGUACAUGUUAGAAACAUUUUCCAGCCAAUAACUUAUA